rnacentral:rRNA from 1 species
UACGUAGGGGGCAAGCGUUGUCCGGAAUCAUUGGGCGUAAAGAGCGUGUAGGUGGCUCGGUAAGUCCGCUGUGAAAGUCCAGGGCUCAACCCUGGAAAGCCGGUGGAAACUGUCGAACUAGAGUCCGGAAGAGGCGAGUGGAAUUCCUGGUGUAGCGGUGAAAUGCGCAGAUAUCAGGAGGAACACCGAUGGCGAAGGCAGGUCUCUGGGCCGAUACUGACGCUGAGGAGCGAAAGCGUGGGGAGCGAACAGG